rnacentral:rRNA from 1 species
GACGAACGCUGGCGGCGUGCUUAACACAUGCAAGUCGAACGGUAAGGCCCUUCGGGGUACACGAGUGGCGGACGGGUGAGUAACACGUGGGUGAUCUGCCCUGCACUUCGGGAUAAGCCUGGGAAACUGGGUCUAAUACCGGAUAGGACUCCUGGCUUCAUGGUUGGGGGUGGAAAGCUUUUGCGGUGUGGGAUGGGCCCGCGGCCUAUCAGCUUGUUGGUGGGGUGAUGGCCUACCAAGGCGACGACGGGUAGCCGGCCUGAGAGGGUGACCGGCCACACUGGGACUGAGAUACGGCCCAGACUCCUACGGGAGGCAGCAGUGGGGAAUAUUGCACAAUGGGCGCAAGCCUGAUGCAGCGACGCCGCGUGAGGGAUGACGGCCUUCGGGUUGUAAACCUCUUUCAGCACCGACGAAGCGCAAGUGACGGUAGGUGCAGAGGAAGGACCGGCCAACUACGUGCCAGCCGCCGCGGUAA